ACCAGACUUGCCCACCAAUCGUACUCGAAGUUCGGUUUGGAAUACCCUCACUACAAUCGCGAUUUUUAGUCGCGUCGUUAUAUCUUGUCACUACCUCCCUGAGUCAGGAUUGGGUAAUUUACGCGCCUGCUGCCUUCCUUAGAUGUAGUAGCCGUUUCUCAGGCUCCUUCUCCGGAAUCGAACCCUAAUUCCCCGUUACCCGUGAGAGCCAUGGUAGUCCAAUACACUACCAUCGAAAGCAUGAUAGGGCAGAAACUUGAAUGAUUUAUCGCAGCAGAGCUGCGAUUUGCGAAGUUAUUAUGAUUCACCUACUAGGUAUAUCUAAUAAAUACAACCUUGCGGUUUUGGCAUGUAUUAGCUCUAGUUUUUCUACAGUUAUCCAUUUAAUGUAUCAAAUAAACUAUAACUGUUUUAAUGAGCCAUUCGCAGUUUCACUGUGUAGUUAUUUAUACUUAGACAUGCAUGGCUUAAUCUUUGAGACAAGCAUAUGCUACUGGCAGGAUCAACCAG
rnacentral:rRNA from 1 species